ensembl:lncRNA
CCCCACCGCACUUCUCUCGGCUUCCCCGCCUCCCUCAUUCUCUCCUGCCGGAAGUGCCUGGAAGAGCUUCCGGGUGGGCGCGGGUCUGAGGCAGCGGCGGCGGCGGCGGCUGCUGCUGGGGCGGUUGGAGGGGCAGCGGGGCCAAGCUGGGGCCAAUUGCCAACGGCUUGAGGCGGAGGAGGGCGAGGGAAAGGCUGCCACGGGGCGAGGGAGCGAUGUAAGAGGCCAACGCCCAGGGAAGGAGCUGAGCAUCCAAGAGCCUUGGAUGUUAAGACCUGUUUCCUAAGGUUUAACCCGAACAAGCAAAUACACACAAAGAGCCUAACAGACUGAAGUGACGUAAGAACUGAAGCUCAAGUGUCUUUUGCUUUGGCUACACAUUUCUUCCCGGUGGUUACACAAGACUGACAAAAGUGUCAAACACGACUGCAUAGCUCCCCCAAGGGAGUAAAAUUGUGGCUGUGGGGUUUCUUCACCUGCAUUUCUGGAAGAGAACAACAACCACAACAAUAAUGAUAAUAAUUCCCAUUUCUUCAAUGCCUUGGAAUUUACAAAACACUUGACUCAAGCCUGUGAAGGAGGCAAGGCAAGUAUCAGAUAAAGGUUAAAGGAAGUUGUGCCUUGCCUAUGGUUACACAGCUGGUAAAUGGCACAGGAAGAAUUGGAACCUUGGUUUCCUGACUCCAAAUCCACUAAACCAGGCUCACUGGAAUGAGAUAGGAGAGCUCACUUUGGCUAAAUGGAAGAUGGGCCUAUGGAAACAGAAAGGACCUCCGAUAUCACUUAUUGUAUCUUCUCUGAUGAUGACUGUUAAGAUUUGGAGGAUGGAAAAAUCAUAGGAUUGUUGAAUUUAGAACUAGAAGGUACCUAACAGCUCUAUCUGGUCUUAUCAUCUCUUUUAUAGAAGAGAAAAGUAAGGCCCAGAAAGGAGAAGAGACUUGCUUAGUGUCACAUAGUUACUAAGCAGGAGAGCCAGAAUUCAAACCCUGUCCUCUUGACUCCAAAUCCAGUUUUUCAGUGUCAUAGAGUUCCAUCUACCAAGGUAUCUCAUCUU